UCGAGAAUUUUUCACAAUGGGCGCAAGCCUGAUGGAGCGACGCCGCGUGGGGGAUGAAGGGUUUCGAUCCGUAAACCCCUGUCAUUUGCGAACAAACCUUGAUUGUGAAUAGCGAUCGAGCUGAUUGUAGCGGAAGAGGAAGGGACGGCUAACUCUGUGCCAGCAGCCGCGGUAAUACAGAGGUCCCAAGCGUUGUUCGGAUUCACUGGGCGUAAAGGGUGCGUAGGUGGUCGGUCAAGUUCGAUGUGAAAUCUCCGGGCUCAACUCAGAAAUGGCAUUGAAUACUGCCCGGCUGGAGGGUCGAAGGGGAGACUGGAAUUCUCGGUGUAGCAGUGAAAUGCGUAGAUAUCGAGAGGAACACCAGUGGCGAAGGCGAGUCUCUGGACGACUCCUGACACUGAGGCACGAAAGCUAGGAGAGCAAACAG
rnacentral:rRNA from 1 species